GCGACCCCAGCUCAGGCGGGCCACCCG
rnacentral:rRNA from 1 species